rnacentral:rRNA from 1 species
UACAGAGGGUGCGAGCGUUGUUCGGAAUUAUUGGGCGUAAAGCGCUUGUAGGCGGCACGUCAAGUCGCGUGUGAAAUCCCCAGGCUUAACCUGGGAAGUGCGCGCGAAACUGACGAGCUUGAGUGCCGGAGAGGGUCGCGGAAUUCCCGGUGUAGAGGUGAAAUGCGCAGAUAUCGGGAAGAACACCCGUGGCGAAGGCGGCACUCUGGGACGGUACUGACGCUGAGACGCGAAAGCGUGGGGAGCGAACAGG